CAGGCCUAACACAUGCAAGUCGAACGAGAGCGACCGGUGCUUGCACUGGUCAAUCUAGUGGCGAACGGGUGAGUAACACGUGGGUAACCUGCCCAUCAGAGGGGGAUAACAUUCGGAAACGGAUGCUAAAACCGCAUAGGUCUUCGAACCGCAUGGUUUGAAGAGGAAAGAGGCGCAAGCUUCUGCUGAUGGAUGGACCCGCGGUGCAUUAGCUAGUUGGUGAGGUAACGGCUCACCAAGGCCGUGAUGCAUAGCCGACCUGAGAGGGUGAUCGGCCACAUUGGGACUGAGACACGGCCCAAACUCCUACGGGAGGCAGCAGUAGGGAAUCUUCCGCAAUGGACGCAAGUCUGACGGAGCAACGCCGCGUGAGUGAAGAAGGUUUUCGGAUCGUAAAACUCUGUUGUUAGAGAAGAACAAGUGCUAGAGUAACUGUUAGCGCCUUGACGGUAUCUAACCAGAAAGCCACGGCUAACUACGUGCCAGCAGCCGCGGUAAUACGUAGGUGGCAAGCGUUGUCCGGAUUUAUUGGGCGUAAAGCGAGCGCAGGCGGUUCCUUAAGUCUGAUGUGAAAGCCCCCGGCUCAACCGGGGAGGGUCAUUGGAAACUGGGGAACUUGAGUGCAGAAGAGGAGAGUGGAAUUCCAUGUGUAGCGGUGAAAUGCGUAGAUAUAUGGAGGAACACCAGUGGCGAAGGCGACUCUCUGGUCUGUAACUGACGCUGAGGCUCGAAAGCGUGGGUAGCAAACAGGAUUAGAUACCCUGGUAGUCCACGCCGUAAACGAUGAGUGCUAAGUGUUGGAGGGUUUCCGCCCUUCAGUGCUGCAGUUAACGCAUUAAGCACUCCGCCUGGGGAGUACGACCGCAAGGUUGAAACUCAAGGGAAUUGACGGGGACCCGCACAAGCGGUGGAGCAUGUGGUUUAAUUUCGAAGCACG
rnacentral:rRNA from 1 species